rnacentral:rRNA from 1 species
GAUGAACGCUAGCUACAGGCUUAACACAUGCAAGUCGAGGGGCAUCAGGAAGAAAGCUUGCUUUCUUUGCUGGUGACCGGCGCACGGGUGAGUAACACGUAUCCAACCUGCCCUUUACUCGGGGAUAGCCUUUCGAAAGAAAGAUUAAUACCCGAUGGGAUAAUGAUUCCGCAUGGUUUGAUUAUUAAAGGAUUCCGGUAAAGGAUGGGGAUGCGUUCCAUUAGGUUGUUGGUGAGGUAACGGCUCACCAAGCCUUCGAUGGAUAGGGGUUCUGAGAGGAAGGUCCCCCACAUUGGAACUGAGACACGGUCCAAACUCCUACGGGAGGCAGCAGUGAGGAAUAUUGGUCAAUGGGCGCGAGCCUGAACCAGCCAAGUAGCGUGAAGGAUGACUGCCCUAUGGGUUGUAAACUUCUUUUAUAUUAGAAUAAAGUGCAGUAUGUAUACUGUUUUGUAUGUAUAAUAUGAAUAAGGAUCGGCUAACUCCGUGCCAGCCGCCGCAGUAA